ACUACGGGUGGCAGCAGUGAGGAAUAUUGGUCAAUGGCCGAGAGGCUGAACCAGCCAAGUCGCGUGAGGGAAGACGGCCCUACGGGUUGUAAACCUCUUUUGUCGGGGAGCAAAGAGAGUCACGUGUGACUCAUUGAGAGUACCCGAAGAAAAAGCAUCGGCUAACUCCGUGCCAGCAGCCGCGGUAAUACGGAGGAUGCGAUGGGUAUCCGGAUUUAUUGGGUUUAAAGGGUGCGCAGGCGGAGGUGCAAGUCAGCGGUCAAAUUGCGGGGCUCAACCCCGUACUGCCGUUGAAACUGCAGCCCUUGAGUGCGCGAGAAUUAUGCGGAAUGCGUGGUGUAGCGGUGAAAUGCAUAGAUAUCACGCAGAACUCCGAUUGCGAAGGCAGCAUACCGGCGCGCAACUGACGCUCAUGCACGAAAGCGUGGGUAUCGAACAGGAUUAGAUACCCGAGUAGUC
rnacentral:rRNA from 1 species